ACAUGCCUACAACAUAACAUUAAUGCACCAGAUCCCAUUAGAACUUUGUAGUUAAGCACGCUCAUGCUAGAUUUGUAUUGGGAUGGGUGACCGCUCGGGAAGUCCUAGUGUUUUACAUGCU
rnacentral:rRNA from 1 species